rnacentral:tRNA from 1 species
UAGAUGAUGCGUAGUGAAUGGUCGGGAUAGCUCAGUUGGUAGAGC